UACGGAGGAUCCGAGCGUUAUCCGGAAUCAUUGGGUUUAAAGGGUCCGUAGGCGGGCGUCUAAGUCAGUGGUGAAAUCCCGCAGCUCAACUGUGGAAUUGCCAUUGAUACUGGUCGCCUUGAAUCAAUGUGAAGUGGCUAGAAUAUGUAGUGUAGCGGUGAAAUGCUUAGAUAUUACAUAGAAUACCGAUUGCGAAGGCAGGUCACUAACAUUGCAUUGACGCUGAUGGACGAAAGCGUGGGGAGCGAACAGG
rnacentral:misc_RNA from 1 species